rnacentral:rRNA from 1 species
UACAGAGGGGGCAAGCGUUGUUCGGAAUUACUGGGCGUAAAGGGCGCGUAGGCGGCCUGUUAAGUCGAACGUGAAAUCCCCGGGCUCAACCCGGGAACUGCGUCCGAUACUGGCAGGCUUGAAUCCGGGAGAGGGAUGCGGAAUUCCAGGUGUAGCGGUGAAAUGCGUAGAUAUCUGGAGGAACACCGGUGGCGAAGGCAAUCCCCUGGGCCUGCACUGACGCUCAUGCACGAAAGCGUGGGGAGCAAACAGG